rnacentral:rRNA from 1 species
CAGUCCCGCGGUAAUACAGAGGGUGCAAGCGUUAAUCGGAAUUACUGGGCGUAAAGCGCGCGUAGGUGGUUUGUUAAGUUGGAUGUGAAAGCCCCGGGCUCAACCUGGGAACUGCAUCCAAAACUGGCAAGCUAGAGUACGGUAGAGGGUGGUGGAAUUUCCUGUGUAGCGGUGAAAUGCGUAGAUAUAGGAAGGAACACCAGUGGCGAAGGCGACCACCUGGACUGAUACUGACACUGAGGUGCGAAAGCGUGGGGAGCAAACAGGAUUAGAUACCCCAGUAGUCCCUGUCUCUUAUACA